UGCCUGAUGGAGGGGGAUAACUACUGGAAACGGUGGCUAAUACCGCAUAACGUCGCAAGACCAAAGAGGGGGACCUUCGGGCCUCUUGCCAUCAGAUGUGCCCAGAUGGGAUUAGCUUGUUGGUGAGGUAACGGCUCACCAAGGCGACGAUCCCUAGCUGGUCUGAGAGGAUGACCAGCCACACUGGAACUGAGACACGGUCCAGACUCCUACGGGAGGCAGCAGUGGGGAAUAUUGCACAAUGGGCGCAAGCCUGAUGCAGCCAUGCCGCGUGUAUGAAGAAGGCCUUCGGGUUGUAAAGUACUU
rnacentral:rRNA from 1 species